rnacentral:rRNA from 1 species
AAGUCGAACGGGUAACAGGUUAAGCUGACGAGUGGCGAUCGGGUGAGUAAUAUAUCGCGAACGUGCCCAGUCGUGGGGGAUAACUGCUCGAAAGAGCAGCUAAUACCGCAUACGACCUGAGGGUGAAAGCGGGGGAUCGCAAGACCUCGCGCGAUUGGAGCGGCCGAUAUCAGAUUAGGUAGUUGGUGGGGUAAAGGCCCACCAAGCCAACGAUCUGUAGCUGGUCUGAGGGGACGACCAGCCACACUGGGACUGAGACACGGCCCAGACUCCUACGGGAGGCAGCAGUGGGGAAUUUUGGACAAUGGGCGCAAGCCUGAUCCAGCCAUGCCGCGUGCGGGAAGAAGGCCUUCGGGUUGUAAACCGCUUUUGUCAGGGAAGAAAAGGUUCUGGUUAAUACCUGGGACUCAUGACGGUACCUGAAGAAUAAGCACCGGCUAACUACGUGCCAGCAGCCGCGGUAAUACGUAGGGUGCAAGCGUUAAUCGGAAUUACUGGGCGUAAAGCGUGCGCAGGCGGUUAUGCAAGACAGAGGUGAAAUCCCCGGGCUCAACCUGGGAACUGCCUUUGUGACUGCAUGGCUAGAGUACGGUAGAGGGGGAUGGAAUUCCGCGUGUAGCAGUGAAAUGCGUAGAUAUGCGGAGGACACCGAUGGCGAAGGCAAUCCCCUGGACCUGUACUGACGCUCAUGCA